rnacentral:rRNA from 1 species
UACGUAGGGGGCUAGCGUUGUCCGGAAUCAUUGGGCGUAAAGAGCGCGUAGGCGGCCAGAUAAGUCCGGUGUGAAAGUCAAAGGCUCAACCUUUGAAUGCCGCUGGAAACUGUCUGGCUAGAGUCCGGGAGGGGCGAGUGGAAUUCCUGGUGUAGCGGUGAAAUGCGCAGAUAUCAGGAGGAACACCAAUGGCGAAGGCAGCUUACUACACAGUUAUUGACGCUGAGGCACGAAAGCGUGGGGAUCAAACAGG